rnacentral:tRNA from 1 species
AGUUUUAUAGUCAAAAAUGAUAUUAAAUUGCAAAUUUAAAGGAGGGAUUAAUUCCUAAGGCUU